rnacentral:rRNA from 1 species
UACGUAGGUCGCAAGCGUUGUCCGGAUUUACUGGGCGUAAAGAGCGCGCAGGCGGCUGGUCAAGUCCGAUGUGAAAUCUCCCGGCUCAACUGGGAAACUGCAUCGGAAACUGAUCGGCUUGAAGAUGGGAGAGGGUAGUGGAAUUCCCGGUGUAGUGGUGAAAUGCGUAGAUAUCGGGAGGAACACCAGUGGCGAAAGCGGCACACUGGGUCUUAACUGACGCUGAGGCACGAAAGCCAGGGGAGCGAACGGG